UACCAUAUGGAAAGUGGGAGAUAUCGGA
rnacentral:piRNA from 1 species